rnacentral:tRNA from 5 species
GGGGGAUUAGCUCAGUUGGCUAGAGCGCUUGCCUUGCACGCAAGAGGUCAUCGGUUCGACUCCGAUAUUCUCCACAA